GAUGAACGCUGGCGGCGUGCCUAAUACAUGCAAGUCGAGCGAACAGACGAGGAGCUUGCUCCUCUGACGUUAGCGGCGGACGGGUGAGUAACACGUGGAUAACCUACCUAUAAGACUGGGAUAACUUCAGGAAACCGGAGCUAAUACCGGAUAAUAUAUUGAACCGCAUGGUUCAAUAGUGAAGGACGGUUUUGCUGUCACUUAUAGAUGGAUCCGCGCCGCAUUAGCUAGUUGGUAAGGUAACGGCUUACCAAGGCAACGAUGCGUAGCCGACCUGAGAGGGUGAUCGGCCACACUGGAACUGAGACACGGUCCAGACUCCUACGGGAGGCAGCAGUAGGGAAUCUUCCGCAAUGGGCGAAAGCCUGACGGAGCAACGCCGCGUGAGUGAUGAAGGUCUUCGGAUCGUAAAACUCUGUUAUUAGGGAAGGACAAAUGUGUAAGUAACUAUGCACGUCUUGACGGUACCUAAUCAGAAAGCCACGGCUAACUACGUG
rnacentral:rRNA from 1 species